ACAAUUUGUGUCAAAUGCCUAUUCAGUACUUUUGAAAUCCUAUCAACAUAACCACAUCUGAUAAAGUUGUCAACAGAAAAUAGUUCCAAAAAACAGUAAGGCAAGGAACGUGUAAGCGAAACGAAGUAAAAUUAUAACAAAAUAAAUUAUUUACCUAAAUUUGUGUCAAAUACCUUGUCAGGACCUUUGGAAUUCUAUCAACAUAGAGACCUUUGCCAAAGUUGUUUCCAAAAAUAAAAAGGCAAGUAACGUCUGAAAAACUACGCAGUUUGUGAAAUUCUACCAACAUAGCUACAUCUGCUAAAGUUGUUGACAGAAACAGUACCCAAAAAUUAAAACACCAGGAACGGAAUAAUAAAAAGAAAGAAAUAAUAGUUCACAGUAAUUUGAAAACAGAUCAAAAAGAUGACGGUUAGCAAGCUUGAGAAAAAGUACCCCGAGAGUACGGCAGAGAUUAGCGUGAGUCCCCGCAUGGAGGAGUAUCAUUCAGACGAAAUAAAUUCGUGGACGCCCAUGGGGAAAACCAUUUAUCUGUGGAAAACCAAAAUCCCUCAGCCUGUGAAGCUGGGCAGCCAUGUGAAGCCAAGAAAGUAUAGAAUGUGCUUUCCCCGUGACAAUAAUUGGUCAUAUGCAUUUUAAUUUUCUUUCGUUUAAUUUUAAUGUUUUCAAUUCAAUGU